CAGUAGCCACGGGAAUACGGAGGGGGCUAGCGUUGUUCGGAAUUACUGGGCGUAAAGCGCACGUAGGCGGCUUGGUAAGUUAGAGGUGAAAGCCCGGAGCUCAACUCCGGAAUUGCCUUUAAGACUGCCGAGCUAGUAGGUGAGAGAGGUAAGUGGAAUUCCGAGUGUAGAGGUGAAAUUCGUAGAUAUUCGGAAGAACACCAGUGGCGAAGGCGGCUUACUGGCUCAUUCUAGACGCUGAGGUGCGAAAGCGUGGGGAGCAAACAGGAUUAGAUACCCGCGUAGUCCCUGUCUCUUAUAA
rnacentral:rRNA from 1 species